ensembl:lncRNA
GUGGACAAGUCUCUGUGCUACGACUAAGAAGGCUCCUGACCGUGAAUAAACUCAACACAAAGCAAAGCAAAGCGAAGGAAAGAUUGUAAUCUGUUUGUGUUACUGCUGUGCAGCAAGGGGAUCUUGUGGACUGGAUCACGAUCCAUUGAGCAGAAGGAACAGGAGCAAUCCAAAAAAAAAAAAAAAAAGAGUAAUCAGAGAUACUUGUGUUGCAUCAACUUCAGAAAAUGUCUACUCCAAACAGUGAAAGAAGCAGAAACAACAAAAAUGGGAUGGAACGUACACCUGUGAUAGCAAAAUCCAUCGUAAUUGUGUGAGUUGGUGCAAACCUGAAUCAAACGAAGGAAGAAAUGAGACUCAAAUAUUUAAGGACACACAACAGAUGAAUAAUUUAUCAAAGACAAUAGGUUACGGCCUGGCCUUUGUCUUCUGCCUCCUCCUCUUGUUCAUAAUGUGUUUGAGUAAAGACAAGAACAGAACUUCAGGUCCAAGGAACAUCGUGUAUAACACAGAAAAUGAGACUGUCAUGAUACCCGAUCCAGAGGAAUAAAAUGAUCACUUCAGGUUCACAUGCUCCAUUAAUGUUCUCUUCUGCUGUCUUUGCAAACAGCAUAAAGAAAUUGGUAAUUCAUGUAUUCAAGAACAUAAUGUUUCCAAUUAUAUAAAUUUUCUUAUCUGUGCUUUUUGCCUAAAAGAUUUUUAAAUGUAACUUUUAAUUUCUCUUGUGUUCAUUUGUUUGUUUAACAUGAUACAUAUAGCAAAAUGACUGCUUUUUAAUCACAUAAGCAAAUUUGUUUACAAAUGCCCCAAAUACUUUAUGUAUAUAUAGAUUUUCCCUCUUCUGUCUUUUUAUUCAUUAAAAGUGUCAAAAGCCCAGAAAAAAGCAUUUGUCUUAUACUAUUAUGUCAUUGUAUGACGUUUUUAUUGCAUGAUUAAUUGACCCUUUGCAGAGACCUACCCUCUUCAUUACUGUUGCCAUGUCUGACAAGCCAUCCACUCUCACACCACACAAUAUGUUUUAACGCAAUGGAAAAUACAUUGCGGAGCAAACUGUAAUGCCCCAACAGACAAGACAGAGCAGGUUACUUUUGG